CCAGACUCCUACGGGAGGCAGCAGUGGGGAAUAUUGCACAAUGGGGGAAACCCUGAUGCAGCGACGCCGCGUGAGUGAAGAAGUAAUUCGUUAUGUAAAGCUCUAUCAGCAGGGAAGAAAAUGACGGUACCUGAGUAAGAAGCCCCGACUAACUACGUGCCAGCAGCCGCGGUAAUACGUAGGGGGCAAGCGUUAUCCGGAUUUACUGGGUGUAAAGGGAGCGUAGACGGCCAGACAAGUCAGAAGUGAAAGCCCGCGGCUCAACUGCGGGAGUGCUUUUGAAACUGUUUGGCUGGAGUGCAGGAGAGGUAAGUGGAAUUCCUAGUGUAGCGGUGAAAUGCGUAGAUAUUAGGAGGAACACCAGUGGCGAAGGCGGCUUACUGGACUGUAACUGACGUUGAGGCUCGAAAGCGUGGGGAGCAAACAGGAUUAGAUACCCGCGUA
rnacentral:rRNA from 1 species